CCAAAUCCUAGCUCCUACCCAUGCCGAUUCGACACAAUUCCACUCCCUCCAAUGCACAUCAAGGUUCUAUAUUUCUGAUACUCCUUUCUUUUCUUAUUCCACUUCCUCCAACAUAGCAUAGUAGUAUAAAAUAAAGCACAGUUAAACAACAUACAAUUAUUCUAAAGAAAAUUAUCUAGCUCCCCUUAUACAUAUACUCAUUC
rnacentral:lncRNA from 1 species